AACGAACGCUGGCGGCAGGCUUAACACAUGCAAGUCGAGCGCCCCGCAAGGGGAGCGGCAGACGGGUGAGUAACGCGUGGGAAUCUACCCAUCUCUACGGAAUAACGCAUGGAAACGUGUGCUAAUACCGUAUACGUCCUUCGGGAGAAAGAUUUAUCGGAGAUGGAUGAGCCCGCGUUGGAUUAGCUAGUUGGUGGGGUAAAGGUCUACCAAGGCGACGAUCCAUAGCUGGUCUGAGAGGGUGAUCAGCCACACUGGGACUGAGACACGGCCCAGACUCCUACGGGAGGCAGCAGUGGCGAAUAUUGGACAAUGGGCGCAAGCCUGAUCCAGCCAUGCCGCGUGAGUGAUGAAGGCCCUAGGGUUGUAAAGCUCUUUAACCGGUGAAGAUAAUGACGGUAACCGGAGAAGAAGCCCCGGCUAACUUCGUGCCAGCCGCCGCCGUAAUAC
rnacentral:rRNA from 1 species